rnacentral:rRNA from 1 species
AGCGAACGCUGGCGGCAGGCUUAACACAUGCAAGUCGAGCGCCGUAGCAAUACGGAGCGGCAGACGGGUGAGUAACACGUGGGAACGUACCUUUUGGUUCGGAACAACACAGGGAAACUUGUGCUAAUACCGGAUAAGCCCUUACGGGGAAAGAUUUAUCGCCGAAAGAUCGGCCCGCGUCUGAUUAGCUAGUUGGUGAGGUAACGGCUCACCAAGGCGACGAUCAGUAGCUGGUCUGAGAGGAUGAUCAGCCACACUGGGACUGAGACACGGCCCAGACUCCUACGGGAGGCAGCAGUGGGGAAUAUUGGACAAUGGGCGCAAGCCUGAUCCAGCCAUGCCGCGUGAGUGAUGAAGGCCCUAGGGUUGUAAAGCUCUUUUGUGCGGGAAGAUAAUGACUGUACCGCAAGAAUAAGCCCCGGCUAACUUCGUGCCAGCCGCCGCCGUAAU